rnacentral:lncRNA from 1 species
UUUCUUUUAACUUUGAUUAUGAAAAUAUUUUUCAACACUGCAGAUUUGGAAAGAAUUUAUUUCUUUAAUAAAAGGAUGGCUACACAAAUUUAAGAAGCACUGGAUUAAGAAAAGAACAGGGUAAUUUAUCAGCUCGUAAUGAAAGGGAGCUCUCUCCACCUUUUUCUCCUGCUGAAGUAGCAGGAGGUUUGUAGUCAGGCUAUUGAACUUUUAUAUGAGUUUGAGGCAUUGAAGCUUGUCUUUUCUUCCAUGUCCCUGUACACAUUACAAAACUGUAGUGCCUUAAGGAUAUGUGUGUGUGUUACAUUGCAAGAGCUGAUGGGAAAUAUGACCCAGGUUCUAUUUACAUCUCUGCAUGCAUGAUCUCAUAUAACCUCUGGUACCUGAAUUGAUUCUAUGGGAACGGAGCUGUUCUGGUUUUGGUCUAAAUAUUAAUGGAUGCUUUUAUGUUUGGAUUAGCUUGGUAUCAGCAAUGUCAAAUAUUUUUAUAACAAUUUUCUGGCUCUAGAAAGUAUAGAAGGAGCUCCUCAAACAGCUCUGAAAACUAAAUGAUUGUUGAAAUAUGCGGUAUUUUGAUAUCUGUUUAGUACUUUGAUAUUCAGAGAGGAAGGGUUUCAAUAAAUUAUCUGAUUUUGAGCUGGAUAUAAAGAAGAAAUAGUCAAGAGGAGAAAAAUUCAUUAAAAAAGGAGAAAUGUUGAUUUCAGAUAGCUUAUUUUUUUCUUCUUUUAGUGUAUGUUAGAAGAAGUUCUCAGCCCAAUUAAUGUGGAAUUAGAUGGCUGUGAAAUUACUGUAAGAACGUCUGAGAGCAAUCUUGGAAAUUUGGCGCUCUCCAGUCUGAUUGAAUACAUCCAAUGGGAAGUUUGACUUUGCAUAGUCUUUUGGCUAUCCUUCCCAGAGUGGACCUGGUUUUAAUUGUCAGAGUAACAGGUGCACAGCUAGCUGCUUGAAGCACUUGAAAAUGGAGUUUACAAAUAGGAAGCUCUAGAUGGGAGGUAUGUAUAUAUGUUUCUACUAAUGGUUGUUUUCACUAUUUUUUUUUGCAUAAUAGAACUGAAAGAAAACUGAAUUUAAAUAUGCUUUAACAUUCAAAAAAUUUAAAUUUAUAAAUCUUUGUAAUGUGCAUAAGGAUGGUAUUUAGAAAUAUCUCAAAUUACUUUUUGAAUAGUCUGAGAUUGGCAAAAUAUUGGUCUGUAAAAACUAUACUUCCUAUUAAAAUUAGGAUUAUUUUUAGCUGUGGGUAUAUUUGAGUGAGUCCUUAAUUUCAAUAUCUAAGUACCUCAAAUUCUGUUUUUCUUCCUUUUCUUAUUUAAGAAAUAUUACUUUGUUGGCUGGAUUUAUACUGAAUCCCAGCAUAGAAUCUUAGGUAAAUAAGGAUGAAAUGAUCGGCUGAAGGGAUUGGGGUGGUUCUCUCCCUUCCUCUAAUCCUUAAACCAAAAUAUAUGACGAGGCAGUGGUUCAAUAUUGUAAUAUAGUAUCAUUAUACUGUCCAUGUAUACUGUACAUAGUGGCAGGAGUUAAUAAGAGGCUGAGAAAAGAGUGAGACCAACCAUCUGGAGAGAAAGCUUUAGAAAUCUUGUGCUUUUAUAAAAUGUUACAUCAGUUAAAUUUUUUGUUUCCAGUAAUUUUAUUGAGAUCAUAAUUGUUUAUAACAUUGUGUAGUUUGGGGUGUACAUUAUUAUUUACCAAUUCCUGGAUAGACUUCAUUGCUCUCACCGCCAGUAGUCUAAUUUUUGUCCAUCACUGUAUGCAUGUGUCCCUUUACCCCUUUUGCCCACCCCCUUCCCCUCUGGUAACCACUAAUCUGUUCUCUUUAUCCAUUUGUUUAUCUUCCACAUAUGAGUGAAAUUAUGCAGUAUUUGUCGUC